rnacentral:rRNA from 1 species
UACGUAGGGGGCAAGCGUUGUCCGGAUUUCUUGGGCGUAAAGCGCUCGCAGGUGGCUCGUCGCGUCGUGCGUGAAAGACCCCGGCUCAACUGGGGAGUGUCGUGCGAUACGGGCGGACUGGAGGCCAGUAGGGGGAUGCGGAAUUCCGGGUGUAGUGGUGGAAUGCGUAGAGAUCCGGAGGAACACCAGCGGCGAAGGCGGCAUCCUGGACUGGUCCUGACACUCAGGAGCGAAAGCGUGGGGAGCGAUCCGG